CCUACGGGGCGCAGCAGUAGGGAAUCUUCCACAAUGGGCGAAAGCCUGAUGGAGCAACGCCGCGUGGGUGAAGAAGGUCUUCGGAUCGUAAAACCCUGUUGUUAGAGAAGAAAGUGCGUGAGAGUAACUGUUCACGUUUCGACGGUAUCUAACCAGAAAGCCACGGCUAACUACGGGCCAGCAGCCGCGGUAAUACGUAGGUGGCAAGCUUUAUCCGGAUUUAUUGGGCGUAAAGGGAACGCAGGCGGUCUUUUAAGUCUGAUGUGAAAGCCUUCGGCUUAACCGGAGUAGUGCAUUGGAAACUGGGAGACGUGAGUGCAGAAGAGGAGAGUGGAACUCCAUGUGUAGCGGUGAAAUGCGUAGAUAUAUGGAAGAACACCAGUGGCGAAAGCGGCUCUCUGGUCUGUAACUGACGCUGAGGUUCGAAAGCGUGGGUAGCAAACAGGAUUAGAUACCCGGGUAGUC
rnacentral:rRNA from 1 species